AGCUGUGAAGCAGUUGACUGUGCCGGAAUGCAGCCGAUUGCGGAGCUCGUACAUGGGUUUGGCGGCAACCACAAACCGGAUAGGUUCUUCGGAGCUGAAUGAAAACGCU
rnacentral:sRNA from 1 species